AUAUGUAAAUUCUUUAGCAAUUUACCUUUUUAGUAAUAAUGAUUAUUACUAUAAAAAAAAAACAACGUUAAUUUCCUCAUCGGCAAAAAUGGAAGUAAUGAUUUGUAUCCCAGCCUACCAUUUAAAGUGACUGGUAAACUAUACAGGGACGAUGUGACAGUCACUGCAUCUAAGUCAGCACUGAUUCUAAAGUGGCAUUUUAGUGGAUUUCAUAAGCAAUGGGUGGCAAACUUAAGUCACCACGGUUAUCCCAAGGAACUCGCGGCGCUUCGCAGACAGGGGCACAGAAAAGCGACAUUCAGGACAACACAGCCUCAGACCUGAGAGCUGUAAGGGCCCCGGGAUGGCGCCAGCCCCUAGCGUAAGAACGAGGAAGCAGGGCUCGGAGCGCGGCGGUGAGCCUGCGCGCCCUGGGUGGAGAAAGGAGACGGAAUUCCGCACCUGGCUGCGAGCGCGUCUGCUCCCGGAGCUUCCCCGACCCGGGCGCGUGGAGGGCGUGGGAGGCCGGAGGGGAGGCCCCGCCCCGCCUCGCCUAGGAGACCCCGCCCCCCGGGACGCCCGGCGGCCAAGCGCGCGGACAGGGGCGCCGGCGGGGCGGCGAGGGGCGCGGCGAGCGAGCAGUCACGUAGCAGCCCGAGGAUCCGUUCGCUCUGCGCCACGUAGCGCGCGACUCCCGAAGGCUCCUUCAUGAGACCUCAGUUAAGGUGUUGGCCGGAGCUGUCUCCCCCUGGGUUGAAGGAUCCAUGUCUCAGGUGCCUUAUUCAUGUGGUUGUUCCAGUUACGUGCCAUCAACCAUGAUCCAGAAGCAGUGACCCUCCUGCUGACAUGUCGUCAGAAGUACUCUGCACCGAGACCUGCGACCUGUCCGGUAUGUCCCUUCUGAAAACCAUGAAGUGGUUGGAAAAAAGGACACAUGGAAGAGGUUGGUCAUCUUUGCCAACUUCCACAUGUAACAGUUUUGAGUUGUCUGAACCCUGCGCAUCUCAACAGUUGGUAGUCUGAAGUAUUCCAGGGUAGCUUCAGCAGCUGAAGAUCCACCAUGAGUUCAGUCCUUUAAUUCUUCUAAACAUAUUUAGCAUUCCCCGAAGAAUUCUGCCUUCUCUUUUCCUCCACAAAUAAAUAUCAUCUACUUUCAGGCAAGUACAAUUCUCUUCUGUUGUCCCUAAACUGCUUCUAAGUCUGGGAUAGUAUGUGUUGGAAGAUGUAACAGUUUGCUUUGACAGCCUUUUGUUUCCGCACAGGCAGAUGUGUUGAGGUCCACUCGCCGGUUCACAGCGUGUUAGUUAGCAGGUGUUUGUUUGAAAGACCCGCUAGUGUCCACUGGGCGGCCUCAGCGGGUUCUGCUGACGGCACAGUUCGGCAGCCGGCUCUCUUUUCCAGAAGAGGGCGCCCGAGAGCCACUCUGACUGUGGAGGCCCCCGAAGCGCCGUCCUCCGCCGGCCUGGCGGGGUCUGUUUAACCAGGAGGAAACCUAGGAGCCAUUUUUUCCUUACCUUCAAGCAGCUCUCUAAUCAGAUUCUAGUUCAUUCUACCUUAGGUCUGCAUAUCUUCCUCUCAUUUCUAAACCUGCUGUCCCAGCUCCUCGCUGUGUCUCAGCUCCCUGCCACAGAUCCCAGGCCCCCCUCCCCACCCACACCUCCGCCGGUUUCCAGAGUAAUCUUUCGGGAGCGCCUGCUCACAAAUCUUGAAAGGCUCUGUAGCAUUAUAGGUUAAAGUUUAAAACCCUUUUCAAGGGCAUUCAGGCCCUUAAAGGGUCUGCAACCUGCUUCUCCAGGCUUCUCUGCCCUUUACCUCCUCUCACAAAAGCCACCUUCCCAUGUAGGGAGUAUACCAAGGGGGUUUGCACAGACAACCCGAGCUGAGAGCCUUUGCCCCCCAGCUCUGUGACUGACAGGAGCCAGACCUCCUUGGUAAUUCCUUCCCCUCAGGCUGUUAGGCACUGUAGGCUUCUGCCCUGAGAGGGGCAGACCACAUCCUGGCCCUUGUGAUAUGUGUACUCUGGUAGACAAAGGAAAUGCUAAGGAAAUAAGUAGGUAUGAUGAAUUCAAAAGAAAGACUACACAAGGCUCUGAGACCAUAACUUCUAUCUGGUCUGGGUUAGGGCAGGGGCACCAAAGGCCCACUUGAGCAGUAUACAUUUCAGCUGAGGUGGAACCAUGAUUAAAUCGGACCAAAUGGAGAGUGGAAGAAUAUUCCAGAAAGAGAGAACUGUGCACAUUGGUCCUGCUUAUUUUUAAUUUCACAGGACCAGGAACUGUAUCUUAUUCUCAUAAGAUCUCUAACAAUAUCUAGAAUUCCCCUUGCCCAGAGAAAUUGUUCAGAAGUUGUUUAACACAAACCACAGAGAAAUGAAGAGAUUUUGAAUCACUAUCUUUAUUUUUUUAAUUAAUUAAGUAAGAGAGAAUCUUAAGCAGACUCCAGGCCCAGAGUGGAGCCUGACAUAGGGCUUGAUCUGAGCUAAAAUCAAGAGUCAAACACUUAACUGGCUGAGUCACCUAGGUGACCCUAAAUCACCAUUUUUUAAAUGAUGGAAAAACAAGAGCUUUCUGUUCCCACGUUUUUAGUACCUUUCUUGGGUGAACAAAGUAGUGAAAAAAGACAAGUUAUCCAUAUAUCACCCGGUUUUGAGGACUGAGGCCUCCCAAGAUGGCUUGGGUGAGUUUCUUUGGGAUGGCUGUGUAUCAACCCCCCCCCUCCCCCCGCCACGGAAGCCAGAGCUCUGCAGGUGCGGGAAUGUGCAAGUCACUUCAGCUCCCCACCCCUCCCCCCCGUAAUAAAACAGAGGAGUGUGGGAUUCGAUUAGGAUGCCCUAACAAUCAGCUUCACACGGAGUCUUCUUAUUUCGUCGAAAUUUGGGGAUCCAACUGCAUUUCUUUUGAUGAGAAUCUUUCGGUUGCCUCUGAUGCUGAUGACCACCCGCAGCUCACCACCCUCCCUGCGCCCAGGAUGGGCACACGGGUCUCACAUACCUCGCGGGAACCAGGCCUAUGGAAGAGGCCUGGGCAUAGGAAUCUUUGCCAAGGUUCCCAAACGUGGGGCUAGUGCUCUGGCUUGUGGUACAUAGGGGGCCAUCCCCUAUCAUGUCGGGGGCCCAGCUCACUGCCCCAUCUGGCUCCCUGGGAGUGGGGCCGCUCCAGCCUCCUCUCGAUACAGCAUCCCCAUUGAUAAACCCUUGGGGGCUCUGCCCUCUCAAAGGCAUGGACGGGCUUGACUUCAUGGUCUUGUUCUCCUCCGGAGCGAGCGAACUCUGAACACAGAAGGGAUUUCCCUCUGAACCUCAAAACAUCACACCCUUCAUUGUACACUUAACCAAAUCCACUGGCCCCUUUCUUUUCAAGGGAAAGAAAAAGGUAGGAACUGAUGGCUAAAUAUUGGUCACAGGUGAUUUCAUUUUAGCCCUUGAUCAGUUAACGCUGAGGACCAAGCACACAUCAUCGAUUUCACCUGUACUCAGACACAGCCAUCCCCUUAUCCGAGGUUUGGCUUUCUGCAGCUUCAUUACCACGGUCAACCUCGGGCCAGAGCGGGCGCUCCUGCUUCCUACCCUCAUGCUGUGUCGCAAAACUUACGUCAGGAACCUCACUUCAUCUCACCGUGUUGGCAGUUUUUCAUCUCCUGUCGCCACGGGAAGGGAAUCAGAUCCGGCAAUACAAUUUGGAGGAACCCUAAAACAAAUAAAUUUUACUUUCUUUUACUUGCACAUGGUAAUUGGCAGUCAACAUAAACACAAUUAUCUUCAAUCUGGCUCUACCUGCAAGAUCAGAAUUUGUAGUAUCUGAACAGUACCCCUUGGAGACCUUUCACUACGUCCUCUCCCAAACUGCCUGGCCUCUACCGUAAACAAGGAGCUCUUUUAAAGUGUGUGAACAAUGUAAGUCCACUUUGUUUUUAUUGUAUUUUACAGUUAAGAGUAUAUACUGCAGAAUGAUUAGCUGUGAAACUGAUUUGUGGAGCUGGGGCUAUCCAAGGUGACAUUUUUAACACUGGAUUUAAAUUUCCUGCAAUAUUUUCCACAUGAAUUUUAUGCAUAUAAGCAAAUUCCUUGUGGAUUAGAUCAUGUGAUUAAGCUAGUGAGGUUGGUACUAUAAAAUAGAGUGGGGUUCAGGGUGAAGCUAGGGAGAUAGGGUUAGGUUUAGCCAGGCUUUUUAACCUGUGGGCUGUCAAAUUCUAGGCCCUUGUAGCUAGCUGAUGCCUUGUUGGUGAGUCAUGAGACAAGGGAAAAUAAUUUGAAAGGUAAGGGGAAGUCAGAUGUAGUAAUACACUGAAAAUUCAAAGCACUAAUUUGGAUUUUAUUUUAAGUGCAAUAGAAAGUAGAAAAUAGUUUUAAGUUGGUAGAUGGGUUGGGGGAGGUAGGUAACAUGAUUGGAUUUACAAUUUUUAAAAUUUUUAUUUUUUAAUUUUUUUUUUCUAGAGAGUGCACACAUGUAAGGGAGGGGUAGAGGGAGGGAGGGAGGGAGAGAAAGAAAGAAAGAAUCUUAAGCAGGCUCCAUGCCCAGUACAGAGACUGACUCUGGGCAUCCUCCAAUGACGGUGAGAUCAUGACCUUAGCCAAAAUCAAGAGUCCAAGGCUUAACCAACUGAGCCACCCCGGCACCCCUGGUUUUAUAAUUUUAAAAGAUCCCUCUAGGCAUAUCUUUUAGAGUAGCUAUUAUUUUAUUUGUCACAACCCCCUUUCUUCCGAUAAUUUGUAUCUUGUCCUUCCUGGAUGAGCAGGGGACCCAGGCCUGGCCAAACAUGGUUAUCUCUAUCCCGGGACACAAUCGUUGGUUCAAGGCGAUGCAAGGUGAGCCAAUCAGAGUCCUUCCUUGAGAUAGCUCCGUGUGGAGCUAAAGAACAAGUGGCCCCACCUCUGGCAUUACAGAGCUGUAAAGAUGUGAAGGUCGGGCUGCCAGUGGCUAACUUUCCCCACAUAGCAAAGAUCUGUCUUUAGGUAGAAGAGAAUGAAGUGAGGCAAAGUGAAUAGACGAGAGACCAAUGCGGUGGGAAAAAGAAUCAUGGCAAGCAUAAAAUCCUGGUUCUGUUCCCGGAAACUUUGGUUCCUGCAGUCCUGGGGGCUACUCCUCCUACCCAACUCAGGGUCAGUCUGUUCCGUUUGUGCUUACUCUUGUUGGGUUUCUGACCUGGCCAGCACAAGAGUCCUCUCUAGUUCAGCAUUACUUCUACCAAGAGCUUUCUUUUUCUGUUCUACUUCUAGUUUGUAGUCCUUAGAAAAUGGAAGAGAGGAGAGAAAGUGAUAGGAAACUAACAAAAGAGGUCAGUGCCUUGAUGUAUUUCCCAUGGACAGAGGUACAAAGAGAAGGACAUCAGCAAUUCUUCUAGCCACUGGGUCAUCAUUAAGAAGUCACACAUGUUUAGAUGUCCUGUUCUGGGCAUGUGAUCAGGAUAGCACUUCCCCAGUCAACUUCAUUCAGGCAAAGCUAUGUGUCUUGUUUUGACCAUUAAAUAUCAGAAAAGAUGUGGAUUACACCUGGGGAGAAGCUUUAUGAGCUGGCCUAUAGCUCCAGUACCCUUUUCCAUGUCUCUGCAAAAUUAUGGAAAUAGUGAUGUAGGACACACCCCCCCCCCCCCCCCACCGAGCGAUUUCUCUUGAUGGACAGACAUGAUGUGUGUUUUAAGCCAAAAAAGGGGGGAAUAAACAGGCCAUCAUAAAUGCCGAAUAAGUAAUGAUAAAACAAAGACUAUCAAUCCUAUGCUAUUAAAAAGGACCUUGUGACUAUGUGAGUCUAUCCUACUUUUUUCUUCAUAAACAUUAACAUUUUCCUCUUUACUAUAGAUGUAACAAAAUUGGGAGAAAACAGGAUAUAGUACUAUAUCCCACUUUUUAAAACUUAAUUUAAUAUUGUGAGCCAAGAAGUGACUUUUGCCUGUGGUUUUCUCCAAACUUCUCAAAUAAAUGUAAUUUCCUUCAUCCCUAAAUCGAUGUGUUUCAUAGUCUACCAAGUAUUAUAAUGACUUAAGUAACUCUACCAGAUUCUGAACUACUAAAGAAACAACGUUAAAUAUACAUCUUUGCUUAGCACUAGAUUUAAAUAUAACAGGUCUAACCACAUUUAAUGAGUAAAUGGAAAAUGAAACUCCAGCCAAAUAAACUAUAUAUUUUUUUAUUUUUUUUUAUUUUAUUUUUAACAGUUUAGGUACAACUGACAUAUGACUAACUGCACAUAUUAAAGUGUGCAAUUGGGUAAGUUUUAGAUGUACAUACCUUGAGCACCAUGAGACAAUUAUGAUAAUGAACAUAGCCAUCACCCACACAGUUUCCUUGCGCCUCUCUGUAAGCCAUCCCUCCCACCUUUUAGUUUUUCUUAAUGCCAUGUUUCUGGGUAAAGAAACCGGGAUGUAUGGGUGCACACUGAGACAUAUGUCCAAUACCCACAAUUCCAAACGCAACCUUGAGAUUUGAUGUGAGCACCAAAAGAUGAAAUACUUCUAGCGAUUGUUGUCAAACUAUACACGUACCACACAAAUGUAUAAACAGUAAAAAUAUUCAGAGGAGUUGAAAAGGCUUCACGAGAAAAGAUUUUCCUAGCAUCUCAUCAAGGAGAUGAGACAUUGCACUUGACCUACAGAGAACACAGGGAAUGCUGAGAGACCUUGUUUUAUCCCCAGGAGUGGCUCCUUGUCCCUAGGGAGGAGUCAUAUGGCUGCGUAUUGUCAGAACAGUGUCUAUAGUAACCAUUCCUAGAAAGUCAGCUCAGAGACUGAGGUAACAGCCUCUAAACUCAUGGCCCAAUCACCAGAAGGGAUUUGUCUUUUGUUUGUGACGGGAACUUCUGUUACAUUUUAUCCUGAGUUUCUUUCUGCACCGUUAUUUUCUCUGCAGUCAGUGUUCCAUGUUUUGGCUCAAUGGAAAACACACUUGGUUUUUUUUUUUUCUUAUUUAAUUCCAUCUCACAAUACCUACUGAGUAUAUUUCUGAAUUAAAGCCUCUUGCUAUGAGGUAAAACAAUAUAGCUUUUAGAAGAAGAGAGAGAACAUCUAUAGAAUCUUGAGGUAGGUUAAGAUUUCUUGAACAGGUCCUUGAAAGCACUAACCAUAAAAGGGAAAAUAAAUAAGUUAGACUAUAUUAAAACUAAGACAUUAGUAGGAGAGUGAAAAUUCAACCCACAGGAUGUGAGAAGAUAGUCACAGUACGUACAUCUGACGAAGGACUUGUAUCCAGAAUACAAAGAAUUCUUCCACAUCAUUAAUCAAGAGACCGAUAACUCAAUAUAAACAUGGGCAACCCUCCCCCCCCCCCCAGAACUUCACAGUGGGCAGGAGAUGGGCAGGAAACACAUGAAAAGGUUCUCAUCUUCAUUCAUAACAGGCAGUUGCAGAAUAAAACCACAGUGUGACACUUACAUGAGAGAAUGGCUAAUAUGAAGAAAAAUGAGAAUAUGAAGUGUUGGUGAGAACAUGGGGCUGCCAGAAUUAGAAUGUGCUGCUAGUAAAAGUGUAAACCGUGUCAGCCUGUUUGGAAGAUUACUUGGCAAGUGACAACCAAAGCCAAACCUAUGCAUAUCCUAUGGCUCAGAGAUUCUACUCUUUAUGUAUGUGUAUACAUAUCCAAAAGAAAUGCACACACAUGUUCACCAAGAGACAGAAUUUCCACAUAGCACUCUUCAAAACAGCGCAAACAUGGAAAAUAUCUGUAUGCCUAAUAUGAAUAGAAUGAUCAAAUAAAUUGUAAUGGAUUCAUGAAAUGAAAUAUUGUAGAGCAACAAGAAUGAAAAGUCUGUGACUGUAUGCAAUGAGAUGGAUCAAUCUCAUAAAUGUAAUGUUAAAAGAGAAAGACACAAGGAGUAUCAAGUGUAGGAUUCCAUUUAUGGAAAGUACAAAACCAGGUAAAACAAAUCUUUGCCAUUAGAAGUGGGAUAAUGGUUACCAGGAGGUGUAGUAAUUGCAAAGGAGCAUGGGAGAACUGUCCUGGGGUGCGGAUAAUAUUCUAUUUCUUGAUCUGGGUUCUGGUUACACAAGUGUGCUUAUUUUGUGUACACUUACAUGUACUUUUCUCUAUAUUUCAAUUUAAGAAAACCCUUUCACUUUCAGACAGUUGUCUUAUUAUGUACUUUAAAGCAUUUUAAAACUCAAAGCUGAGCAGAGUAUUCUUUCUCAGCUGUGUCCUGCCACUCCCAGGAUGAAUGAAUGCCAUUCAUUUAGUGCCUUCUUGGGGACGCCUAGAAACUGGAGAUCACUAGGUUCAAAGAUGAGUGGGGAUUUUAUUUCAAGGCAGUAUCCCCAUGAAAUUAGAUUAUGUAAUAGUAUGUACAAAAAACUGCGGAGCGCAUUUUUAGCUCAGAAGAAAUUUAACUGAGGAUUUCUUUUCUCUUUUUUCUUGGAAUAAAAUUAUAAAACUUUAUUGAAGAACAUAAAAAAGACCUAAAGAAACACAGAUAAACCCAGUGCUUGCGAUGUGAACCCAAGCACUAUGACCUCAACAACCCACACAAUAAUUCUGGUUCACAAACACCUUGCUGGCAACCUUUAUGGAGACGGUAUAGGGAAAUUAACUGAGGAUUUCUUAAUAAUUUAAGAUGAUGUCUGAUGUCAGAUUAUCCAGUAACCAGUGAAAAAAAAGUAUAUUUGCUCUUAGAAAAGAUGUGAUAUUACGGCAGCAGGUCAGUGACCCCAUUGGUCCACUCAAGAAAAGAAACUCAUUUUACCAACAUUAGAUUCGUGUGUUUACUAGAUACUGAAUAGCUUUCUCUAAACAUUCGAUGUGAAAUUAAGGAUGAAUUAUGUUAGCUACAGCCUCCAAGUCACAACUAAUUGAUAUAUGAGGAUUAGAGAUAUCAAUAAAUGGAUGGGAACAGAAAUUAUGUAAAGAAUCCAGGAAGGAUGCUGCCUUAUCCUCAGCUUAUAACAGUGUGUGGGUCCUAUUCUUACUUACCAUCAUUCUCUAAUUACCUCGUUCUGUUGUGACUGUCAGUCAUUAGCAUACUUCUCAGCUACUUCAGUACUUUGUUAGAAAUGUUUGGACAAACUGAAAUUCCCUGAUUUAUUACUCCUAUGUCGAUCAGCUGGAAUGUUUAGCCAGUUGUUUAUGUGGCUGUCUGUGAGUACACUUAUUGGAAAAACCUGCUGAGCUUAUUGGAGAAUAAAAUCUUUCUGAAUGAUUUCACAAUAUUUAUAAGCCUUGGAACCAAGGAAACGGCAAUUUGGAGCCUGAUACUUGGACAGUUAAUCUCCUGAACAACGCAUACGUAACAGAAGAAACAGGGUUCUCCCCAAAAACAAAGAAAGGAGCCAGAAAUAUGUGCCAAUACAGUUUUUCUUUUUAAAGGAGAAACACGGAAUGACAAGGAAAAGGAGAAAGGCACUAGGGGAAGAGAAAAAGAGAAGAAAAAGGAAGACAAAUAUAUAUCAAAUGAUGACCGUGUGCUUCCUAUAGGUUAAUACAAAAGAAUCAAGACAUGGAAAGGAGGAAAAGUAGACAAAGAUCUAAGAGUUCCAAUUUUAUAGGGAUAAAAAUAAAGAAGAGGGGUGCCUGGGUGACUCAGUCAGUUA